GAGACAGGUGGUGCAUGGUUGUCGUCAGCUCGUGUCGUGAGAUGUUGGGUUAAGUCCCGCAACGAGCGCAACCCUUAUUGUUAGUUGCUACGCAAGAGCACUCUAGCGAGACUGCCGUUGACAAAACGGAGGAAGGUGGGGACGACGUCAAAUCAUCAUGCCCCUUAUGUCCUGGGCCACACACGUACUACAAUGGUGGUUAACAGAGGGAGGCAAUACCGCGAGGUGGAGCAAAUCCCUAAAAGCCAUCCCAGUUCGGAUUGCAGGCUGAAACCCGCCUGUAUGAAGUUGGAAUCGCUAGUAAUCGCGGAUCAGCAUGCCGCGGUGAAUACGUUCCCGGGCCUUGUACACACCGCCCGUCACACCAUGAGAGUCGGGAACACCCGAAGUCCGUAGCCUAACCGCAAGGAGGGCGCGGCCGAAGGUGGGUUCGAUAAUUGGGGUGAAGUCGUAACAAGGUAGCCGUAUCGGAAGGUGCGGCUGGAUCACCUCCUUUCUAAGGAGA
rnacentral:rRNA from 1 species